rnacentral:rRNA from 1 species
AGCUAUAGCCAGAGCACCAUCAAUGUUUCAGAUUUACCUGAUCUUGGAAGCUAAGCAAGCUUUGCCUUGGUUAGUACUUUAGGGUGGAAGACCACAGGGAAUACCAGGGGCACCAUAGGUU